rnacentral:lncRNA from 1 species
GGACCAGCGGGGAACAGUACAGCCUCCUGGGUCCUCGGGCUGCCGGGAAGGGGACCGUCCCCACCUGGCAUCUCGUACGACGACUGUGCACAGUCCUGACGGGAAGGGAGGGGGGAUAGAGAGGCUGAACCUCACCAUGCACAUCUGCCUCCCUUUCAGCAAUCCAAUUCACUCCAUCGUCAAAUGUCCUUCUUCUGGCUAUUUUCAGUUUCACCACCAGUGCAGAAAAAGUGAAAGAAAAAAAGGUUCAGAGAGGUGGGCACUGGCCAGGGGCUGAGGCAGGGCAGACAGAAGGCAGAUGUCUUCGUAGCCCCCACACCGGCAGCAGAGCCCCGGUAACCAGUCCCUGAGCCCUGUAGCUGGGCUUUGAGGGACCAGAGGUGUGACUGCAGAACAAAACCAGGAGGAGCAGG